ACAAUUACCUCAAAACAGUCAAUAUUUACUGAUAUGAUCCGAUGUCGUUUCAGUUAUAAGCUGGAAACGCACAAAUGUUUCCAGUAUUAUCCGUAUUGGUUAGGCACCGUGAGAGUGCGAAUUCGUUUCUUUUUUAAGGUAUCCUCACAAUAAGCCUGCUUGUCAUCAAAGAUCAUGAUGUUCCUGUUCCCUCAGUGCAUGAAUCACACUGAUUAAUGUUCAAGUCCGGACAAGCAUAAGGCAAAAUAUUUGCACCGUCAUUAUAGACUCGACUUGCUUGAAGCGGAGGCUUGUCCACUACAUCAGCACAAUGAACAGCAAUGGAAUGUUUUGUUAUAAGUUUGAUAUAACAGCAUCCUGUCAUUUACAAUUACAUAUAUCGAAUUUUAUUCAUUGUAAUGGAGAUGGUUUUUCUCAACAAAAUAUAUCAAUAUUCAUUUGAUAUUUACUUACGCCUGGUCAUAUUAAAGUGCACCCAUUCACAUAAGUGCAUGUGUAUGAUUUUAUAUUGAUUCAUGUUUUCUUAAUGAUACAUUUGAUAUUGAUAUAAUCUAUAUUAAUUCAAGCAUGUUAAAUAAUAGUAUCUGUAGACGAAACAAUCAUGAGUGUUGUCAUGUGUGCUUCAAACAGAAUGUUAAUCUAAAAGUGUAAUAAAUAAAAAUAAACAAUUUUACAUAAGAAAACACUUAGUUAGGCUAAAUGGGUUGGUUGGGCCCUGAACUUGAAAUUGCAGACACGAUU